GUGUACAGUGAGGUUGAUAUUGAGGGACAGUACCUGAUGUAGUGUGGGGAUGUGUACGGUGAGGUAGAUAUUGAGGGCCAGUACCUGAUGUAUAGUGUGGGGAUGUGUACCGUGAGGUAGAUAUUGAGGGCCAGUACCUGAUGUAUAGUGUGGGGAUGUGUACCGUGAGGUAGAUAUUGAGGGCCAGUACCUGAUGUAGUGUGGGGAUGUGUACCGUGAGGUAGAUAUUGAUGGCCAGUACCUGAUGUAAUGUGAUAAUGUGUACCGUGAGGUAGAUAUUGAGGGCCCUCCCUACAUAGAUGUGGUAUGGGAUCUGUUCCAAGUGAUGUGGAAUUUGGAUAAUGCAGAGCAAUGAGUAAACAACAGGAGACUCCAUCACUAUCUGGGUUACUGUCAUUGUUCAAUAACUGAUUUAUCACAAGGAUGUUAUCAGCAGUAAUACUGUCACCUACCGGGGCUCUAUUUAGAUAUUUGUUAUCUAAUCUGUCCAGAGUUAUCAGUAUAUUGUUCAUGUCCUGUUUUCAGUUUCAGAUGAUAAGUUUUACAUUUAAAAAAUUGAAUUGUGUAGUGGAAAUGUUUUAGAUGGUAAUCAGUUGUGUCAAAAAGACGUGACUGUAACAGGGCUUACACCAGUCAGUGCCUGUUUAGAUAGCCAACCUGCUGUGGCCCUGAUGAUGGUUUGUAGAGCUUCACCUUGGAGAGAGAGUUGUGAUUCGGCUAUCAUAUAUCUGAUUGGGAUAGCUGUCCAGGGGUUUCAAUUACUUAUAUCUGAGAUACCUACCUAAAUGACUUGGAAAGAUUACCCGCAAUUUUGUUUCGACUGGAAUUAUUAAAUAUUUUGGCUACACGUGAGAAAAAUGUCCAAAGAUUUGAAGCGGCUAUCUCAGCAUUGGAAGGAAUGUGUCCCUACGGAAUACACUGUCACUCCGGUCGUGGAGAUCCUAGGACCCAGAGGCCCGAGGGUCACACGCCACGCCAGCUUCCUCCAACUCGGUCAUGGUUACAGACACAAAAAGGUUUGAUGUAAACAUGAUGGGACAUGGCCUUCCGCAAUUCUUAGGUUUGAUACCAGCUGGUACAGUCGUGGAAGUACGGAGGUAUUCGGCUUAUUACUGGUUCAGUCGGGGAAGUACGGAGGUAUGCGGCUUAUUACUGGUACAGUCGUGGUAGUAUGGAGGUAUUCGGCUUAUUUCUGGUACAGUCGGGGAAGUACGGAAGUAUUCGGCUUAUUACUGGUA